CUAACAAGGAUUCCCCUAGUAACUGCGAGUGAAGCGGGAAAAGCUCAAAUUUAAAAUCUGGCGGUCUCCGGCCGUCCGAGUUGUAGUCUGGAGAAGCGUUUUCCGCGUCGGCCCGUGUACAAGUUUCCUGGAACGGAGCGUCAUAGAGGGUGAGAAUCCCGUCUCUGACACGGACCGCCGAUGCUUUGUGAUGCGCUCUCGAAGAGUCGAGUUGUUUGGGAAUGCAGCUCAAAAUGGGUGGUGAAUUCCAUCUAAAGCUAAAUAUUGGCGAGAGACCGAUAGCGAACAAGUACCGUGAGGGAAAGAUGAAAAGCACUUUGGAAAGAGAGUUAAACAGUACGUGAAAUUGUUGAAAGGGAAACGCUUGAAGUCAGUCGCGUCUGCCGGGACUCAGCCUUGCAAUCUUGCUUGGUGUACUUUCUGGUGGACGGGCCAGCAUCAAUUUUGGUCGCCGGACAAAGGCUGGAGAAAUGUGGCACCUUCGGGUGUGUUAUAGUCUCUGGUCGCAUACGGCGGUCGGGAUUGAGGAACUCAGCAUGCCUUUAUGGUCGGGGUUCGCCCACGUUCAUGCUUAGGAUGCUGGCGUAAUGGCUUUAAACGACCCGUCUUGAAACACGGACCAAGGAGUCUAACAUGCCCGCGAGUGUUCGGGUGGAAAACCCGUGCGCGUAAUGAAAGUGAAAGUUGGGACCUCUGUCGUGGAGGGCACCGACGCCCGGACCAGAACUUCUGUGACGGAUCUGCGGUAGAGCGUGUAUGUUGGGACCCGAAAGAUGGUGAACUAUGCCUGAAUAGGGUGAAGCCAGAGGAAACUCUGGUGGACGCUCGUAGCGAUUCUGACGUGCAAAUCGAUCGUCAAAUUUGGGUAUAGGGGCGAAAGACUAAUCGAAC
rnacentral:rRNA from 1 species